GCAUAAUAAUUUGCCUCUUAAUUAGAGGCUGGCAUGAAUGAACCCACGAGAGUCUAACUGUUUCAUCCUUGUACCUAAAAACUAUCCUUAAAAUGAAGAGAUUUUAAUAAAAUAAAAAGACAAAAAGACCCUAUUGAGCUUUAUCUAAAACCAGGCCCCCCUUAAGCUCUUAUACUUCCCCCUGCCUAAGAUUUUGUUGGGGCGACAUAAGAAGAACUAGAUCUUCUUACAAAAUAAAGGACACCCUCCUCCCUUAUGAUCCGCACCCGCGAUUAAAGAAACCAGCUACCAUAGGGAUAACAGGCUAAUCUUCCUUAAGAGCCCGAAUUGACAGGAAGGG
rnacentral:rRNA from 1 species